rnacentral:rRNA from 1 species
AACGAACGCUGGCGGCAGGCCUAACACAUGCCAGUCGAGCGAGCAUUUCGGUGCUAGCGGCGGACGGGUGAGUAACGCGUGGGAACGUGCCCUUUUCUGCGGAAUAGUCCUGGGAAACUGGGGGUAAUACCGCAUACGCCCUUUUGGGGAAAGAUUUAUCGGAGAAGGAUCGGCCCGCGUUGGAUUAGGUAGUUGGUGGGGUAAUGGCCCACCAAGCCGACGAUCCAUAGCUGGUUUGAGAGGAUGAUCAGCCACACUGGGACUGAGACACGGCCCAGACUCCUACGGGAGGCAGCAGUGGGGAAUCUUAGACAAUGGGGGCAACCCUGAUCUAGCCAUGCCGCGUGAGUGAUGAAGGCCUUAGGGUUGAAAAGCUCUUUCAGCUGGGAAGAUAAUGACGGUACCAGCAGAAGAAGCCCCGGCUAACUCCGUG